rnacentral:rRNA from 1 species
UACGUAGGGUGCGAGCGUUGUUCGGAAUUACUGGGCGUAAAGGGCGCGUAGGCGGGCCUGUAAGUCGAUUGUGAAAGCCCCGGGCUUAACCUGGGAACAGCAGUCGAAACUGCAGGUCUUGGAUGCCUGAGAGGAUGGCGGAAUUCCCGGUGUAGAAGUGAAAUUCAUAGAUAUCGGGAAGAACACCUGAGGCGAAGGCGGCUGUCUGGCGGUGCAUCGACGCUGAGGCGCGAAAGCGUGGGGAGCAAACAGG